rnacentral:rRNA from 1 species
AAAUUGAAGAGUUUGAUCAUGGCUCAGAUUGAACGCUGGCGGCAGGCCUAACACAUGCAAGUCGAACGGUAGCACAGAGAGCUUGCUCUCGGGUGACGAGUGGCGGACGGGUGAGUAAUGUCUGGGAAACUGCCUGAUGGAGGGGGAUAACUACUGGAAACGGUGGCUAAUACCGCAUAACGUCGCAAGACCAAAGAGGGGGACCUUCGGGCCUCUUGCCAUCAGAUGUGCCCAGAUGGGAUUAGCUUGUUGGUGAGGUAACGGCUCACCAAGGCGACGAUCCCUAGCUGGUCUGAGAGGAUGACCAGCCACACUGGAACUGAGACACGGUCCAGACUCCUACGGGAGGCAGCAGUGGGGAAUAUUGCACAAUGGGCGCAAGCCUGAUGUAGCCAUGCCGCGUGUAUGAAGAAGGCCUUCGGGUUGUAAAGUACUUUCAGCGGGGAGGAAGGUGUUG